UAGGGAAUCUUCCGCAAUGGGCGAAAGCCUGACGGAGCAACGCCGCGUGAGUGAUGAAGGUCUUCGGAUCGUAAAACUCUGUUAUUAGGGAAGAACAAAUGUGUAAGUAACUAUGCACGUCUUGACGGUACCUAAUCAGAAAGCCACGGCUAACUACGUGCCAGCAGCCGCGGUAAUACGUAGGUGGCAAGCGUUAUCCGGAAUUAUUGGGCGUAAAGCGCGCGUAGGCGGUUUUUUAAGUCUGAUGUGAAAGCCCACGGCUCAACCGUGGAGGGUCAUUGGAAACUGGAAAACUUGAGUGCAGAAGAGGAAAGUGGAAUUCCAUGUGUAGCGGUGAAAUGCGCAGAGAUAUGGAGGAACACCAGUGGCGAAGGCGACUGUCUGGUCUGUAACUGACGCUGAUGUGCGAAAGCGUGGGGAUCAAACAGG
rnacentral:rRNA from 1 species